UACGUAGGGCGCAAGCGUUGUCCGGAAUUAUUGGGCGUAAAGAGCUCGUAGGCGGUCUGUCGCGUCGGAAGUGAAAACCCGGGGCUCAACCCCGGGCCUGCUUUCGAUACGGGCAGACUAGAGUUCGGCAGGGGAGACUGGAAUUCCUGGUGUAGCGGUGAAAUGCGCAGAUAUCAGGAGGAACACCGGUGGCGAAGGCGGGUCUCUGGGCCGAUACUGACGCUGAGGAGCGAAAGCGUGGGGAGCGAACAGG
rnacentral:rRNA from 1 species